rnacentral:siRNA from 1 species
UCCAAGGAAUCUGGUGCUUGAGU